ACCCAAAGCACAGUACCUCGUCCAGCUCCUGUGGUUGUGGCGUUGCCGUCGGGCCGUCCGGACAGGAAGAGCAGAAGAAAGGCAUGGACAGACAGACAGGCAGAGCCGCAGUGCACACGGUGUGUGUGUCUGGAGAGGCCGCCAGGAAGACUCACCGCAGCAAUGCUACGUGAAUGCAGAGGGCUGGAGGUGGUGUGACUACUCACUUGCUCGGCUAACAGCUGCCGGGUUUGGAUGGAAUUAUUCCGCAACAACAAGAAAGCGUCGGUUAAACGCCUGGUGGCCAUUGUCUCCCCCUUUGUGACCCCCCCUCUCAGGGUCUCCCACCCCCCCUUGUAGUCCUGAUUUGUUCACUUUCUCUCUUGGUCUGGCCUAGCUGAUUCCACUCUUGCACAGAAAUCUCUCUUGACAAAGCCUUAGGCUUUUCACGGCGCGAUUUUGCAAUCCGCCUAAGCGCGGAGACCCCUCCCCAAAUAACCACCUCGCCUUUUCCAACUGCCUGACUCCCCCUACCCCAAGGCUGGCUCGGAUCUCAAAGCACUCGAAUCCCCCCAAUCCUAGCGUCGAAAUCAAACGUCCUGGAGACCCCUCCCCAAUCCCAGCUCGGAUCCACAAGCGCCUGACGCGCCAAUCCGGCUCGGGGAUGGGAGAGACCCCUACCCACUCACUUCCUAAGACCUCCCCAAAGGUGCUGGCGCCCUAACCCUAACUCAGAGCGCCUGCGUGCCCGGCAUGUGGCUCUAACUCCGAGUUUGGGUUAACUCUCCUCACAAAAGGCCUGCUCCAAACAGGCCGAGCCCACAACGACAAAGGAGCGUCUACAGCUCCCAUAUAGUCGCCUGAGCCUACUGAGGCUCAGCCCGACCUGACCCCUCUCUUUCCUGUGCGGCCUGCUUCUCCACUGCCAGGAGGCUGCGGGCCUCCACGAGGACCUCACGGCCUGCCUCCCCCAGCCUCCUCACUCCUCUUCACCGGCACCCUCCAUCCCGGGAUCAGGCUGCAACCCUGCC
rnacentral:lncRNA from 1 species